UCACCCUGCACACCCUCCCUGAGGGAUCUCAUCCAUCCCCAUGGCGUCAACCACCACCUGAGGACCCUCUAGGCCUGAAUUGUCUCCUGAGUGCCACACCCAGCUCUCCAGCAUCUUCAGUGUUCCUCCCCGGGUGGAAUGCUCCACAGCACUGCCAACUCAACCUGCUCACCAAAACCCAGCUUGUCAUAUCUCCUCUGG
rnacentral:lncRNA from 1 species